rnacentral:rRNA from 1 species
AACGAACGCUGGCGGCAUGCCUAACACAUGCAAGUCGAACGAGACCUUCGGGUCUAGUGGCGCACGGGUGCGUAACGCGUGGGAACCUGCCCUUAGGUUCGGAAUAACUCCCCGAAAGGGGUGCUAAUACCGGAUAAUGUCUUCGGACCAAAGAUUUAUCGCCUUUGGAUGGGCCCGCGUUGGAUUAGCUAGUUGGUAGGGUAAAAGCCUACCAAGGCGACGAUCCAUAGCUGGUCUGAGAGGAUGAUCAGCCACACUGGGACUGAGACACGGCCCAGACCCCCACGGGGGGCAGGAGGGGGGAAAUUUGGACAAGGGGCAAAAGCCUGACCAAGAAAUGCCGGGGGGGUGAUGAAGGCCUUAGGGUUGAAAAGCUCUUUUACCCGGGAUGAUAAUGAAAGUACCGGGAAAAAAAGCCCCGGCUAACCCCGU